rnacentral:rRNA from 1 species
UGAAUACGAGAUGCUACGGCGUCGAAGCAGUGUAUGUCAGACUUCCAAGAAAAGCUCGCAAUGUCAUAAAUAAAGAAUGCCUGUACCAUAACCGACACAGGUGGGUAGGUAGAGUAUACUAAGGGGCGCGAGAUAACUCUCUCUAAGGAACUCGGCAAAAUAACUCCGUAACUUCGGGAGAAGGAGUGCCUUCUUUAAGAAGGUUGCAAUAACAAGAUCCAAGCAACUGUUUAUCAAAAACACAGGUCUCCGCUAAGUCGUAAGACGAUGUAUGGGGGCUGACGCCUGCCCAGUGCCAGAAGGUUAAAGAAGCUGGUUAGCAAUAGCGAAGCUGGUGACUGAAGCCCUGGUGAACGGCGGCCGUAACGAUAACGGUCCUAAGGUAGCGAAAUUCCUUGUCGGGUAAGUUCCGACCCGCACGAAAGGCGUAAUGAUUUGGAUACUGUCUCGGAGAGGGACUCGGUGAAAUAGACUUGUCUGUGAAGAUGCGGACUACCUGCACCAGGACAGAAAGACCCUAUGAAGCUUUACUGUAACCUGAAAUUGAAAUUGGACUUUAUUUGCGCAGUAUAGGUGGGAGGCGUUGAAAGUAAUCUUGCGGGAUUAGUGGAGCCAUCAGUGAGAUACCACUCCUAUAAUGUUAGAUUUCUAACUUUGGAUCAUGAUCUGGUCAAAGAACAGUUUCAGGCGGGCAGUUUGCCUGGGGCGGUCGCCUCCCAAAUGGUAACGGAGGCGUACAAAGGUUUCCUCUGAACGGGUAGAAAUCGUAUCUAGAGUGUAAAGGCAUAAGGAAGCUUGACUGUGAGACCUACAAGUCGAGCAGGGACGAAAGUCGGUCUUAGUGAUCUGACGGUGCUGAGUGGAAUGGCCGUCACUCAACGGAUAAAAGUUACUCUAGGGAUAACAGGCUGAUCUCCCCCAAGAGUUCACAUCGACGGGGAGGUUUGGCACCUCGAUGUCGGCUCAUCGCAUCCUGGGGCGGUAGUACGUCCCAAGGGUUGGGCUGUUCGCCCAUGAAAGCGGUACGCGAGCUGGGUUCAGAACGUCGUGAGACAGUUCGGUCCAUAUCCGGUGUAGGCGUUAGAAUAUUGAGAGGAGCCUUCUCUAGUACGAGAGGACCGAGAAGGACAUACCUCUGGUGUACCAGUUAUCGUGCCAACGGUAAACGCUGGGUAGCUAUGUAUGGAGAGGAUAACCGCUGAAAGCAUCUAAGUGGGAAGCCCACCUCGAGAUGAGUAUUCUCAUC